UUUAACCCCAAAGCCAGAAACCCUAACCUCCUACGCAUUGUCAUAAAAAACCCAACUCUUCAAACCCAUACACGAUUACAGUUCCUCUUUCUCCCUCCUGCCUCCCAUGGCACCGCCACUGCCAUUGUGACUGUCGGGCUACCACCAUCACCUCCGUUAUCGACCUUUCUCUCUCUCUUCUCGGCUUGUUGCUUCAGGAUAUCGAUUUGCUUCCGACGACUUACUUCUCUCUACAUUUUCUCUCUCCUUAUCUUCUUUUUUCCUCACCAGAUCGACGACGAUCUCCCCGCCCUUUACUUCUCUUCCAUGGCCGCCGCCGUUUUCACCCUCACAUCCACCGUACACCACCACCACUACCACCACUGUCUUCACUAUCUUCGUGCCAUUCUCGAAUGACGACGAUAUGAGAUAUGAAGGCUUCAAAUCUGCUAGAUUUAUGGUAGAUCUGAGAUGUGAGGGCUCUUUCUCCGUUGCUACAACCACCAAAAUGAACGAUGGAGAUGAAAUUUGUGUUCGAUUUUUGUUGGUUCAUGAUCUAUGUUCAAAGUUAUAUAUAUAUGUAAAGCUCCAGUGAUUUCUAUGUGUGUGUGUAUGUGUAAUUGGGUAUCUGAUUGUUCGAUUUCCAAACCCUAAUGGUGAAAAUGGAAAUUCGAAAUCUGUAUAUGUGUGUAAUUAGGUAUCUGAUUGUUGUUUGAUUUGGUUGUUAAAAACGUAGAGGAAACGCUUUUGGUUACGUUUGUCCAACUAUUAAUUACCAAGUACAUGCUGAUUUAAAGUCAAAAUUGAAUUCUUUUUUUUGUUGAUUUUUGUGUGAUUAGAAUGAAAUUGAGCUAGGGCUAAAUUAGAGAAGCUGUUCUGAUUGUUGGAUUUGAUUAUUUUGGAUUGAUUUGGGGGAUUUUUUUAUAGAAAUUAUUGUCAUUUUGGAUUCAAGUGUUAUUAAUUUGAAAGAAGUGUUUUUAAUUUCCUUUUCUAAUUGAUUUUACAGGUAUAUGCUAAUUUAGACUCUAAAAUUUUGAUUUUUUUUUUGUACUUAAUAUGGACGUGUAUAUUUGUAUAGGCUAAUUUUUUUUUCGUUGUUGAAUAGAAGAAGAGGUAUGUUUUAUGAUAGGUCUAACAGUUUAAUUGCCAUAUUGUCCAAUGCAUUGUCUUGAUUGUUAAAUUAUAUGGUUAUAGGAUAGUUUAUGUUAUUUUUGGGAAAUCAUAUGCAUUUAAUCUGUGGAGGGGAAAGGGUCUAAGGGAGGUCAUUUCUACUAAUAAUGGUUUUAUAUUCUUACUGUUUGACUUAAGUUCUAAUAGUGCUGGUGUUCUUGAAGAUGGUCCAUGGUUUUUUGGGGGUCACUCUCUGAUCCUGAAGAAAUGGCACAAGAUGAUGAGGCUAAACAUAUCACCAGGGAAGAUGCAGUGCAAGCAGAGCUAUGGUUCUUGCCACUACUCUCCUUGUUUCCUUCUCACUUCACUUGGAAACAAUUCACGAAGCUACUUUCACUGUCGGUGAUUCUUUAGGAUGGGAUUUCAGUGUUGGAAGCUGGACAAAUGGGAAGCAAUUCAAGGCUAAGGAUAUGCUAAACAACGUGUUUCACAAAAGUCCUAAGUGAGGUGAGAUUCCUCUUGCUUUGAUUCUCUUUUCUGACUAACCAAGCUGAGUAUUUUUCUCAUUUGAUUACUCUGGUUGAUUGUAUGUUAUCGUUUUUAGCCUAAUUUGUUAAAAAUGAUUGAGAGGAAAAGUAAAAGUUAGUUCCUUCUGGGGAUAGUUUGGUGAUAAUGGGGAGCACCAAGGCAAAAACCUCCCCUGAGAAGACAAUCACUUUGUCAUCCUUAUUGCUCUAAGAUUGGCUUGUAGAUGUGGUGUUAAUGAGCCAUUUACAAGGGAAAGCAGAGAGUAUUUAAGGAAACUGUGUAUUGGAAAGGAUGUCAUAUUCAAAGUGGAUUAUACUAUAUCAUUUAUUGGGCAAGAAUUUGGCUCUGUUUUCCUUGGUGAUAAGAAUGUUGCAUUGAUGGUUGUUUCUGAUGGCUGGGUAAAGGUUAGGGAGCAGGGUCAACAAAAAGGAGACGCUAGUCCUUUCUUAGCAGAGCUGCUACAUCUUGAAGAGUAAGCCAAGCAAUAAAGGCUAGGACAUUGGACCAGGGUUAGUCUAAGUUCUUUACUUCCAUUUUCUCCCCAUACUUUUCCUAUUUUUCUAGUACAGUGGAGCAGCAAUAGUAUAAGUUCUGUACCUUCCCCUCUUAUUUUGUCCAUGCCAUAAUAGCAACAUAGUGCACUUGCACUAUAAAAACCCAUACUUCACUUGCGCUAAGAAAUUUAUAGUAGUGUUUUUGUUUUCAAAAGAAUAUAUGAGUGCUAUGCUGACAGGCUUGCCAACUCUAAUUUGACUUGGUCUCUUUAUUUUGGAACUUACAAUGGUAAUGGAUAAAACCUAUACAAAUGGCAUCUCAAAAGCUUUUCUCAGUUGUUAUCUUUCAACUGUUACUUCUUGUUCCUUUUGCUUUAGGCCUUGCUAAUGCAAAUGGCCUAAAGCUUGGCUUCUACCACAAAACCUGCCCAUCAAUUGAGGCUAUUGUCAAAGAGACAACUGCUCGAUUUAUUUCGCGUGCUCCGACUCUUGCUGCUCCUUUGAUCAGAAUGCAUUUUCAUGAUUGUUUCGUCAGGGUACAUCGCUAGGCACUGGAUUUUUGUUUUUUUUAUUUUUAUUUAUUUAUUUUUAAAUAAUGCUAUACAAUCAGAAAAAUUAUUCAAAAGAAUAUCUAGAAUUUAAAAUUUAUAGGACCAAAUUUAGUUUGAUUUGACCCUAUAAAGAAGUUUAAAUCUACAACAAUAUAGAUUUUAAUUUUUGGACAAUUUUCUAGAUGCAUAGUAUUUUUGGUUUUCUUAUUCAUUUUACAUAUUUGCAAAAGCGUUGUUUUAUCAUGCCGAUUACUUACUCUUAUAAUGAUAAUCAGGUGGAGUUUGGCAAUUACUUGUUUAAUAGUUUUUUUGUUCAUUUAUUUAUUUUGUCUUUAAUGAAUUAUUAUUUUUUAUAAUUUAUAAAGAAUUUUACAUUUUUAGGUCCUACUCAGCUAGACAAACUUGAAAAGAUUUUUUUGCCCCCCCAAAUAUAUGUAUAAUUUUUAAUGGCAUUCUAAAUUGGUCAGACCUAAAAUGUAAUAAAUAAAAAAAAGAUUUGACACAAAUCUUAAAAGGGAAAUGAUAGAUAAGUGACAAAAAAAAAAUAUUUAUAAAAAAGUGAUAAACGUUAUAAAUAUUAAUAAUUACAAUUAUAAUUCUUUUCAUCUUUUUGUAAAUUGUUUUUCUGAUUCUCCCUAAUCAGUAAUUCCCCCAAUCUCUAAAAACCCUUCCCUAAAGACAAACUUGGGAAGAAAAAAAGACAACGAAAGUGACUGAGCAUAAGAAUCAGUCUGAUGAUAGAAAGAAAAGCUAUAAAAUAUGCACAUAACAGGAUAAUGAUAGUAGGGAUUGAAAAACUUUUUAACUCUUAUAAUGAUCAUCAAUGGUAGCAAUUUUAUCAUAGCUAGUAAGUUUAUAAUCUAAGUUUUGU